rnacentral:lncRNA from 1 species
GGCUGAAAUCUAGUCUUUGCCUGUUGUUGUUUGGCAGACCGAAACUAGCUUAUCGGUUGUUGUUGCUUUCGGGACCGAACCUAUCCUUUCGGUUCUGUUCUUCCUGUGACCCGNGGUCUUUGCCUGUUGUUGUUUGGCGGACCGAAACUAGCAUUUCGGUUGUUGUUGCUUUCGGGACUGAACCUAUCCUUUCGGUUAUGUUCUUCCUGUGGCCCGAAAGUCUUCCUCUGGUUCUUUUGAAUCAGAGAUUCGAAGUUCCUUUGACUCUUGUUUUCUUCUCCUUUUGACUUAGAAUUUUUGUCAAAGUGAGUGUAGUGAGGAUUUUAGGAGCGCCAAAAUUGCUUUCGCUCUGAGAUUUUGCUUGUAUCUCAGGUUUCUCUGCUGCUUUUAAUUUUUCACCUGUUUCGGUUGUUUGUGGAUAUUUGCCUUUUGUUUCAGCUUCUUAGCAACAGGUUCACUCUUCAUGGAAGAGGUUUCGCUUGUUGAGGUGACUUCUUCCACUGGAAUCUCUUUUGUGCCACUGGAACUUGGUACGUCAGAGUUGGUAGGCUUAUUCAG